CCUACGGGAGGCAGCAGUGAGGAAUAUUGGUCAAUGGGCGCGAGCCUGAACCAGCCAAGUCGCGUGAGGGAGGAAGGCACUACGGGUUGUAAACCUCUUUUGCCGGGGAGCAACGGGUGCCACGUGUGGCGUCACUGAGAGUACCCGGGGAAAAAGCAUCGGCUACCUCCGUGCAAGCAGCCGCGGUAAUACGGAGGAUGCGAGCGUUAUCCGGAUUUUGUGGGUUUAAAGGGUGCGUAGGCGGAUCUUUGAGUCAGUGGUAAAAGUGAGGGGCCCAACCCCUUCCCGCCAUUGAAACUGGCGUUCUUGAGUGGGAGAGAAGUAUGCGGAAUGCGUGGUGUAGCGGUGAAAUGCAUAGAUAUCACGCAGAACCCCGAUUGCGAAGGCAGCAUGCCGGCUUCCGACUGACGCUGAGGCACGAAAGCGUGGGGAUCGAACAGGAUUAGAUACCCCAGUAGUC
rnacentral:rRNA from 1 species